GACGAACGCUGGCGGCGUGCCUAAUACAUGCAAGUUGAGCGAUGAAGAUUGGUGCUUGCACCAAUUUGAAGAGCAGCGAACGGGUGAGUAACGCGUGGGGAAUCUGCCUUUGAGCAGGGGACAACAUUUGGAAACGAAUGCUAAUACCGCAUAACAACUUUAAACAUAAGUUUUAAGUUUGAAAGAUGCAAUUGCAUCACUCAAAGAUGAUCCCGCGUUGUAUUAGCUAGUUGGUGAGGUAAAGGCUCACCAAGGCGAUGAUACAUAGCCGACCUGAGAGGGUGCGCGGAGUAGCUGGGACGGGAAGACGGCCCAACACCCUGCGGGUGGGAGCCGUACGGAAUCUUUAGGGAUGGCAGAAGGGCUGAACGAGGAACGCCGCGUGAGUGCAGAAGGUUGUCGGAUCGUGAAACUCUGUUGGUAGGGAAGAACGUUAGUGUGUGUGGAAAGCGCAGCUAGUGACGGUAACUGCACAAGAAGCGACGGCUAACUACGUG
rnacentral:rRNA from 1 species